rnacentral:rRNA from 1 species
UACUCCUACGGGAGGCAGCAGUCGGGAAUAUUGGACAAUGGGCGCAAGCCUGAUCCAGCAAUACCGCGUGAGUGAAGAAGGCCUUCGGGUUGUAAAGCUCUUUUACCAGGGACGAUAAUGACGGUACCUGGAGAAUAAGCCCCGGCAAACUUCGUGCCAGCAGCCGCGGUAAUA